GGCUCCCGUACGGUAUACUCCUCUUGGUAGACUGCAGGCCAAGAGAUCCUUAGCAAUGCCAGAAUCUUGAGAAAACGCACGAGUCGUCCACUAGCUGACAUAGGACAUGAAUGGCCCCAUACGAUCCUACCCUGAGAGGGCAACUCAGCCAGACAAAGGGGACAGCCAUGAUAAGGACCGCCAUUGGGACCCAAACACGAGUCGUGGCAGGCUACCCCUGUGGAUCCCACGUGGGACAUUAAGAGACAGGGAGUCGUAGAUUGCCUUCCCAUGGCAAACUCCAGCAAAAAGGGGAAAGCACGCAGGACUCCUCCGAAGUGGUUUGGCCAGGCGAAACGACACUUCCAGGAAUUCGGUCUGAAGCAAAACCCAAAGUAUCCUGUAGGUAAACGGGAUGCGUACGCCCCGAAGG